UGCUUUGACCUAAUAUAGCAUUUUUCUGCCAUCAUUUUAGAAUGAAGUGUUGAUGGAGUAUGAGACUCCUUGCAAAUUUGUCUCAAGGAGCCAUAAACUUAGCAAAUUACGUUCAUAUUGGCAGGUAAGUAGCUUCAUCAAGAUGUGAUGUGACCAUUCCUUGCAGUUAUCCUGCCAAAAGCAUCAAGAUGACAGAUGAUAUGUUAUUCCGUAAAUGGCAUGGCUGGUAUCCGGUUGGUCGAAUUGCAGAUGGAAUUGUUGCUUUAUAAAUAUGUUCUCUUACCUUAAAAACGGGUGGAGAUUUUAUUUUGCAUUAUUCAAUGUAUGUAUCAUCCAUAAUUGAAACCUUUGUAAAGAUUUGUUAGGUUGAAGAAAAGGAUUUUCAGUUUCCCUUCUCA